rnacentral:rRNA from 1 species
CCUACGGGGCGCACCAGUGGGGAAUAUUGCACAAUGGGCGCAAGCCUGAUGCAGCCAUGCCGCGUGUAUGAAGAAGGCCUUCGGGUUGUAAAGUACUUUCAGCGGGGAGGAAGGUGUUGUGGUUAAUAACCACAACAAUUGACGUUACCCGCAGAAGAAGCACCGGCUAACUCCGUGCCAGCAGCCGCGGUAAUACGGAGGGUGCAAGCGUUAAUCGGAAUUACUGGGCGUAAAGCACACGCAGGCGGUCUGUCAAGUCGGAUGUGGAAUCCCCGGGCUCAACCUGGGAACUGCAUUCGAAACUGGCAGGCUAGAGUCUCGUAGAGGGGGGUAGAAUUCCAGGUGUAGCGGCGAAAUGCGUAGAGAUCUGGAGGAAUACCGGUGGCGAAGGCGGCCCCCUGGACAAAGGCUGACGCUCAGGUGCGAAAGCGUGGGGAGCAAACAGGAUUAGAUACCCCUGUAGUC